GACCUGGGGUCCCUGCUUCUCCAGGUGCUCCCGGAUUUUGCUCUCUAGCCUCCGGUUCUCGGUCUCCAGGCUCCUCACUCUGUCCAGAUGUGGGCCACCAGCCUUAAGCCAGAGGGAGCUUUGUAAGACAGGAACAUAUAAAAUGAUAAAAGCUUCUCUACGUACAGUUUUCCUGACUCUGAUUCUGCGUGGGACAACCAGUGAAAAUUGCAGGUGAAGAGAAGAAAUGCGUAUUUAUUCCUCCACUGGGAAAAAAAAUACCAUCCAAAGCUACAUGACUUGAGAGACAAGGUCUCACUAUGUUGCCCAGGCUGGCCUCGAACUCCCGGGCUUCAGCAGUCCUCCCGCCUCACCCUCCGAUGUAGCUAGGACUACAGGACCGCGACCCGGCGCUGCCUAAGAACUGUUUUUAAACGUGAAAGCCACGGCUAUCAUUUGCUUUUUGCUCUGCUCUUCAUCUUCUGGAUAAACCUCGUAACACACUGCUUGUUUUGGGUGGUAGUCUGCUGCCUACGCCCCGUCAGACAAGUGGCCUGAGUCCCCCGCAACCCCUGCAGGUCCGGCCGCCGGCGCCAAGCCUCAAGGCAUCCAAGCCAGGAACGAUCGCGGUCAGCUCUGCCACGGAACAUGUGCAAGACCCGGCAGCAGGUUCCGGGGGAGGCGAAUUGAUUUCACAACGGUCGAGAAGGAGGACCCCGCCCACUUCGUCAUUUCUCGGAAGCCCAGGGACUCGCCGGAAGAGCGGCUCAAAAGCCGGAAAACUGGCAAAUCCGAGUCUCCCGGCGCAUGCGCGGCGCAAUCGGCUUCGCGUGGUUGCAGUAGAGAGGAUCCCUCCGCCAGCCACUGCAUCCGGCGGCCGGAUCUAACUUACCCGCUAGCGUUUUACCCUUGCGCGGCCGUGGCGUAGGGCGGUCUUUUCCCUUGGUCCUCCGCGGCGCCGCCUCUUGUGACGUAAGCCGCAGAAUCCUCUGUCUUAGUUCGGCUCUAUUGCCGCGAGCUUGACUCUUCCUGGGUCUGAGGAAAAGUAAAAGUAAUUUUGUCAUUUCCUGAAACUUCAAGUUAAACCUUUAAGCUGUUCAUUUCCUAAAAGGGUGAAAACGCGGGCACCCCUCGAGCUAGUUCAUCGCCUUUUAACCUGUUGUUGGAUCUUUCCAGAUCACCACACCACAUCACCCAGCCACUCUGCCCAAUGGGAGGGCAGACAGUGUUCCAGUGUAGGAGGAAGGGGUGUAAGGUGCGGGCAGUUUGUGAGGAGGGCACCAACGAGAGCUACUGUGAGAAAGUCUGCAUGGUCAAAAAGUGGAUUACCAAGAACAAAGCAUCAUAAUGUUGUCCAGUGGACCCCAGGACCCUGUGCAUACCUUCAUCAAGGCACUUGCUGCGUAGCACUUAUAUUUCUGUUGUACGUAUAUGUCUCUUCCACUAAACUUUAAACUUCUUGAAGAGAAAAACUGUGUCUUUUAUCUUUGUAUCUCCAGGCCAAGCAUGGCAACUGUUGCUUAGCACCUGCUCAGUUAAUUGCUGCAGAAUAAAGGAGUUUUAAUCCCUUCCUAUCACUUCUGGAAACUUUACUCAAGCAAAGUCAUUUUUUUCCUCUUUCUUUCUGUAUUUUUAACUCCUUCAUCUUUCCCUUAAUUCUUACUCAUCUUAAAAAGAGCAAGAAAACACUUGCUCCAUCUUAGCCCCUUCAUCGUAGCCCCAUUUUGUUGAAAGAAUAGUCCAAUUAUUGCUUUAAAGUCCAAACCUCCCAUUGACACUUCAGCCUACUAAAAUUUGAUGUUUACUCCCUCACUCAAAUGGAAUUGUUCUUCCCAAUGACACCAAUUGCUUCCUGAUUGUGGAAGUCAGGCUUUAUCUUAAGUGAUUACUCUUCAGGAUUUCAAAUUGUUGCCCUGUUUUUCCUGAAAAAUCCUUAUUAAUUUGGCUUUUGUGACAUUGUUUCUCCUGGUCUACAUAAUCUCUCAACACUAAUCAGAUACACCAGCUGCCUUUACUUAAAUGCUGGUGUCUCAAGGAACCCUUAUUAAUUCUUUUGUCUUCUUAUUCUCUCUGGGUAAUUUCAUCUAAUUUUGCAUCUUUGGUGACUACCUAUAUAUCCAGUGAUCCUGAAUUUUGACCUCCAGAACUCUAUUUCCAAUGUGUAAUAAAUUCUGUGACUCACAAUACCCUCAAACUUUACUUGUUAAAAUGGAAUUGUUUCCUUUCGCAAACAUGGCCCCUUUUAUAUUUCCUAUCCUAGUAAGUUAGCAGGAGGGUCAAGGUGUUGACCAUUCAUAAUCUUUCUCCAGGUUUCUAUACUAGACUACAUAAUCAAUAAAUUUCAAGGAAAAAGUUAUCCCUUGUAU
rnacentral:lncRNA from 1 species